rnacentral:rRNA from 1 species
GACGAACGCUGGCGGCGUGCUUAACACAUGCAAGUCGAACGGAAAGGCCCUGCUUUUGUGGGGUGCUCGAGUGGCGAACGGGUGAGUAACACGUGAGUAACCUGCCCUUGACUUUGGGAUAACUUCAGGAAACUGGGGCUAAUACCGGAUAGGAGCCCCUGCUGCAUGGUGGGGGUUGGAAAGUUUCGGCGGUUGGGGAUGGACUCGCGGCUUAUCAGCUUGUUGGUGGGGUAGUGGCUUACCAAGGCUUUGACGGGUAGCCGGCCUGAGAGGGUGACCGGCCACAUUGGGACUGAGGUACGGCCCAGACUCCUACGGGAGGCAGCAGUGGGGAAUAUUGCACAAUGGGCGGAAGCCUGAUGCAGCAACGCCGCGUGCGGGAUGACGGCCUUCGGGUUGUAAACCGCUUUCGCCUGUGACGAAGCGUGAGUGACGGUAAUGGGUAAAGAAGCACCGGCUAACUACGUG